AGGAAAUAUAGUAUACAAUACAUGUCACGUGUGCAUGCACACACAUACUAGAAAAUCUCCAAAAUACAGAGGAAAAUAUUUAAAUGGAAGCAAAUUAAUAAUGUGAGGCAUGGUGAGUUAAUGUAUCAUAGUGCACAAAAGCUGGUGUUUGGGAAUAUACUGACCUUGGUUCAGAUCUCUUUCUACUCAUAUCAAAAAUAAUACUGACUAUGCAGAGUCGAUAGGUGAAAUAAAUGAGAUGAGCCAUGUGAAAUCACAGUUACUGCACUGCAUAAGAAAUGUUACUUUACUUUCCUUUUCUCUGAUCCUUUCCUUCUUGCACAGACAUUAACUACCUGUCUCCAUUAAUCUAAUUCACACUCUCAAGUUGUAAUCUGUAAAACUUUCUAGUAUAUUUGUAUAUAUGUGUCUACACACACACAAGCUGCAUACUGUAUUUCUUACUUGACUAUAAAUACCUCAAAGGAUGUACCGACUCCUUCAUGGUGUGUAUUAUAGCUUUAGGUUUGUUCCCCAACAUCUGUAACAUAGAAUAACAUAUAUUAUAUUAUUUAUUUUGUCAAAACCAUAUGCCCCCCAACAUAAAAGUACCCAGCAUGGCAGUGAUAUAUCUGACUGUUAGAUCUCUGGACCCCUGAAGUUUUUGUUGUUGUUGUUGUUUAUUAUUCUAGGGAAUAGGAAAUUUCUGCUUAUAUUAAUGCAAAUAAAGAGAUGACCAAAAGCAUGUUAGAGACACUCCCCUUCAAUAUGUCUACUA
rnacentral:lncRNA from 1 species